rnacentral:rRNA from 1 species
GAUGAACGCUGGCGGCGUGCUUAACACAUGCAAGUCGAACGAUGAAGCCCAGCUUGCUGGGUGGAUUAGUGGCGAACGGGUGAGUAACACGUGAGUAACCUUCCCUUGACUCUGGGAUAAGCGCUGGAAACGGCGUCUAAUACCGGAUACGAGCUUCCACCGCAUGGUGAGUUGCUGGAAAGAAUAUCGGUCAAGGAUGGACUCGCGGCCUAUCAGGUAGUUGGUGAGGUAACGGCUCACCAAGCCGACGACGGGUAGCCGGCCUGAGAGGGUGACCGGCCACAAUGGAACUGAGACACAGCCGAGACUCCUACGGGAAGCAGCAGUGGGGAAUAUUGCAAAAUGGGCGCAAGCCUGAUGCAGCAACGACGCGUGAGGGACGAAGGCCUUCGGGUCGUAAACCUGGUUUAGCAGGGAAGAAGCGAAAGUGACGGUACCCGCAGAAAAAGCACCGGAUAACUACGUG